rnacentral:lncRNA from 1 species
UCGUCAGUCUUUAUGCGGUGCGCCGUAAGCAUAUGACCGUUCUCAACGCGUUUAUAGUUUCUAAUUAACGAUAUGGCAAUAUUCGGCCUCCUGCUAUGCCCGGAACAAUACGCAACCAAAGCCGUCAAACUCAGUUCGCUAUGACCAGCUGGAAGUCGCUACAGCUGUAGCGGCCCCCCCCUUCGGAAACCUGGCCACCUGGCCGGGGCUAAGCUCCGAUAGGGUCUUCUUUGAGCUUGCCGCUUCGAAUGAUUACUGCUGCCAUACGUAUUCGCUUACGUAGGCCCAACCGCUAAUCUCCGUGCUGUUUUUUUCCCUCGAUGCUCCGAAUCUCCGAAGGGACGAACAGUUGCUUUACAGGGACUGUGAACGGCUGUCCGUCAGCAGUCUCAACCAGCGCCAGAGUACCGAGCGUAUUCCAGUACUUAAAGAAAAAUGGGCCCUCCCUGUCGGUCCCAAGCUUGGGUGAACGCCGAGUCCAUCGGUACACCUUGGUGUUUUCCGCCAGGUCAGGUGCGUGCUCCAGCGAACUUGCAUCAUCCACCUUGAUACGAGUCUUACGUUCCUGCGCGGCCGCUGGCUGGGGUUUCAGCGAAACUGGCCCGCCAGUUGCGCGAUCCGUUUGAGCAAUCGGUGUGACCCGUGGGUCUGCCUCCUCCUUAUUGACGGGCUGCAACAUAGGGUUGCCUUGUCGUUUAGCAUAGUCUCGCUGCUGUCGACUUUGAGCUUUUGUCAGGUUCUCCGCAACCUGAUCAGCCACCAGCUCUAGUUGUGAACGUCGGUGCUGCAGAGCCGCAUAGUCUUCUGCACAUACCUCCGCCGGCUCCUCUGACGGUUGUGUGGGAUUCGGGGCGGUGCUGCGUUCAGCCGCCGUUGUAAGUUCUUUGCCGAACACACAUAGCGCCGGGCUCAACCGCGUGCUAUCCUGUCGGGUAGCUCUAUAACCAUAGAGAAUUUGAUAGACCUCAAUGUCCCAGUUGUCUUCCUUGUCGUUGAUGCAUUUGCGUAGGCUUGUCAACAGUACCCUGACAAGACGCUCUGCCUGCCCGUUGCUCUGAGGUGAGUAGGCAGCGGUGUGUCGAUGUGCGAUUUUCUGCUCUCGUAGCAGAUAGGCAAACUCGCCAUCCCAUUCUCGACCUUGAUCCGUCAUCACCAUUUCUGGCGAUCCAUAGCGGGUCACCCACUGUUGCCAGAACCAUGAUGCAGUGGUGCUAGCUUUCUUAUCCGGCAGGGGUCCUGCCUCGGGCCAUUUAGACCAUGAGUCUACAGCCACGAUCAGAUAGCUGUUGCCGCGAGGUGUCUCCUUGUAAGGUCCCAUCAGAUCAACAUGUACUCUUCCCCACAGUGGUACCACCGGAAGGGGGUGAAGUCGUGGUUGCCGUACAAGCCUCAGCUUGCCAGGUGCACACUUCUGACACUUGGCCACGUGUGUCUGCACAUCUUGUCGCAUGUUCUCCCAAAAGAAACGCUUGCGAAGGAAGUCAUAGGUCUUGCCGACUCCCCAAUGAGCCAUGUCGUGGGCCUCUUGAAGCGCUGCCAGGCGUUCCUCAGGUUUGAGAACUCGCACCCGUGAUUGCUUAUCCGAGCUCAGCUUCCACAGCCGGCCAUUUGAAAGUUCAUACCGAGCAGCCUUUUUACGUAAUCUUGUCAUCUCCCUCAAAUUGUCUUCCCCGGACGCCGAAACGUCAACAGGAAGCUUGCCAGAUUCUAAGUAUCGAAUCAAUGCUUUAUCCUGCCAAAUUUCUGUAGGGGUAAGAGGUCCAGGCUUCGGCGUCUCGCCGGAGCUGUUACCACUAUCUGGGGUAAAAACAUUGGAAUCCGGACCUGAGUCGCUCUCCUUGCUUGAGGAAGACAAGGAAGGAGAAGGUGACGGGGUCAAACCCUGAGUAGGAAUACGGUCGGCCAUAGGGCGACCUGGGGUGGCCCGGGGGUGAAUGAUGGCUGGACCUCCAGCCAAUCGCUGAUCAGCAGGACAGGGUUUGUCUAGGGCGGGCAGGGAUCGGGAAAAUCGCACCCGCUUGGCUGGCGUAUCGCCAGGGCCAGUAGACAGACGAUGCUUUGCAGAGUGUUGAGCUGGUUUGCUACUAUGAAGUGGGCAAAACCAUGGCCCAGCCGGUACCACAGACAAUGGUGGAUCUAGACACGUAGUGUGCCAGCCCAGACGGCAGGUAGGCUCAUCGCAGAGCAGAAGAGUGGAUGUCGGCCGUCCUCGUAGACAGACCGAACAGAUCAUUCCGGGGUCAUCAUCAGUAUUGGUGCUUUCGGAAGCAGGUGGCUCCGCGUAAUCUGCUAAACGUGGAUUGACAGUGUGACGGCGACGGUGUUGCCGUGCGUGUUGUGCUGCAGGUAUCUCAUCUGGUGUUCCAGAUGUCAGACGAGCUGACCUAUCCAAGCGUCGCUUGCCAAGCGGGACCAGGGGUCUGGUUGCUUCACGCAAGGGGUUGUGCUCUGGUGUAGGCGACGAUAGAGCCGGAGGCUGGUGUACAGCCACCCUGGUCGGCUCAUCCGGUAUAAUGCCGCGGCUACACUCCUCUUCCUGUUCAGUUAUGAGGAUCUGAACCUCGGAGGUGAUGGCUGCAAUUGAGCAUGCCAAGAUGGCGGCAUCCUCAAGUGGGUCCGGACUGGGGUCGAUCUCUGUAGGCAAAUUACGGUGGGGCUCCAUCAGAUGUCCCAAGCGGCUCAAACCAUCCACGUUUGAAUUCUUGCGUCCGGCCUUAUGCAUCACUUCAAAGUCGUAGGCUUGAAGCUUGAGCGCAUAUCGAGCCAGCUUUCCCAGAAGAUCUCGAGCGCGUGCAGUCCGCAAAGACCGAACCGCCAUCGAAUCCGUGAUGAGUACAAAAUGAGUGCCGUACAAGUAGGGGUGAAAGUGUUUAAUUGCCCAUAAGGCAGCGUAGGCCUCUCCAUCUGCCGCGCUGUAAUUCAGCUGUGAGCCAGUCAUAGCCUUACUAGCAAACUGAACGGCGUAUUCAUAUCCUUUGUUGUCCUGCUGGGCCAGGCACGCGGCGACGGCAGUGCGGCACCAGUCGACUUGGACCAAGAACGGGCGUCGGAAAUCAGGUGCGCGGAGAACAGGCUCCCCCAGCAAAGCAUUACGUAGCUCUUGGAAAGCGUCCUCUUCUCGCGGACCCCAGCACCAGGGUGUCCCUUGCUUAAGUAGUGCAUACAAUGGCUGUGCAA